GACGAACGCUGGCGGCGUGCCUAAUACAUGCAAGUAGAACGCUGAAGAGAGGAGCUUACUCUUCUUGGAUGAGUUGCGAACGGGUGAGUAACGCGUAGGUAACCUGCCUUGUAGCGGGGGAUAACUAUUGGAAACGAUAGCUAAUACCGCAUAACAAUGGAUGACACAUGUCAUUUAUUUGAAAGGGGCAAUUGCUCCACUACAAGAUGGACCUGCGUUGUAUUAGCUAGUAGGUGAGGUAAUGGCUCACCUAGGCGACGAUACAUAGCCGACCUGAGAGGGUGAUCGGCCACACUGGGACUGAGACACGGCCCAGACUCCUACGGGAGGCAGCAGUAGGGAAUCUUCGGCAAUGGGGGCAACCCUGACCGAGCAACGCCGCGUGAGUGAAGAAGGUUUUCGGAUCGUAAAGCUCUGUUGUAAGUCAAGAACGGGCGUGAGAGUGGAAAGUUCACACUGUGACGGUAGCUUACCAGAAAGGAACGGCGAACUACGU
rnacentral:rRNA from 1 species